AACAUGAUUUUCACAUGAUUGACUGUUUGUUUGCUCAAAGAAACAAACAACAGUCCACUUAUUGUUGUCUCUGGGACAGUCUGUUAAUGAUUGACAGCUUGAAAUCUGUCUCUCCUGAUCAUCUUUUUUCUGAUCAAAGCAGUUUGAUGUGUUGAUUGUGUCCCUGUCUGUCUGCUCUCAAAUCAUUUGCACGUCUUCUUCGUGGCUCCGCCCCUUCAGAUGAGGG